GCUUAGCUAGUUCAGUUGGUAGAGCACAAGACUCUUAAUCUCAGGGUCGUGGGUUCAAGCCCCACGUUGGGUA
rnacentral:tRNA from 1 species